UGUAAUUAGUUAAUGAUUGUGUCGUUUCUUUUGGCAAGGCAUCCCUCAACUGAUGAAACAGUCUUCUAGUCACUUACAAAAUACAUAUGUAAACAAUAGGGAGAGCAGCAUUUGGAAGGCACAUGAUGAUUCUUUAUUUUCCAGCACAUUAGCACAUUAAUAUGUGUGCUGCUUUUCCAAAGAUAGAGUAUGAAGGUAAUCUUUGUUCCAUAAAACACCAAAAGAAAAUCAAGUAUUUCAUCCUUCUGGUGAUGGUUAAGGAAAUAAAACUUACAUGUGAAUGAUGUCUUCCCUGCAUUUGGAGAAACUAAGACAUGUUCAUCUCCAGAGAUGGGCAGUGGAGACCAAGAGAAAUCUAUACAAACAAACCUUGUUAAAUUAACCUUUAUCUUUCUAGUUACUAGUUACUUCUUCACUAUUACCUGUCUUAGACCAGAUUCCUUUGUCUUGUUACAUUUUCAUAAUUUACUACUCUUUGUUCAACCCUGUAUAUAAGUGUUCGGCUCUGUUUCUUUCAGUCUUUAAUAUAUCCUUAGAACCCACAUGUACAUAUAAAAUUUUCCUGAAUAAAAUGUGUAUGCUUUUCUUCUCUUCAUCUGUUGAGACCAGUUUAAUUUUUAGGCCCAGCCAGAAACCCUAAUAAGGUAGAGGAGAAAUUUUUCCUCCCCUGCUUCAUACACUCACUAUCUCUACAAGUAUAGGCACUUUGGUAGAGAUGUUUUAGAAACACACAUCACAGAGUCACAUGAGAAAGAAGGGGAGCGUUUGGAUGAGCACUUUUACAAGAAUAUUAGAAACUAUGGGGUUGUAGUUGAGGAAACACCUCGAGGAGGUGAGUGUCAACCCUGCACAUCUCUAAAGAAGACAAGGUCAGGUAGGAGAAUCUAGAAGUAGGAAUGUGCCUGGCACAGGCUUCCUGGUAGUAAAACACAGGGAUUUCUGAAGCUUAGUGUGAUGUGAAUCAGUGAACAAACUGCUGAACAAUGUAUCUUCCUUUAAUAAAAUAAUGAAUUUCUUGGAUGUGCUUCUUGAAAUGUAUCCCAUUAUGCUUUGUGGGCUUAACAUUAGGGAACAGUUCCUUAGGAAUAGUUCUAGAAUCACCCAAAUAAUGCUGUUCAAGGACAGUGAUUUCUCAUUGACCAUUUUCAUGUAAGAUAUAAUUUAGCUUACUUGGAAAAGCAGUGACUCACCUUGUUUCAGGGAAUCUGUGUACCUAGAUUGAUAUAUGCCAUGGUUUGAAUGUCCCCUCCAAAACUAGUGUUGAAAUGUAAUUGCCAUUGUGAUGAUAUUGAGAGAUAGGACUGUUACGAGGUGAUGAGGCCCGGAGGGAUGACACAGCAUGAAGGCUCUCAAC